UUGCUGCAAUCACGUCCCCAGCAUAAACACACACAUACGCUCUUUCUCUCUAAAAAAGCAAGAAAUAAUAAUAAUAAAAGAUAAAAAGAGAAUGUGAGAAAAUGAUGAGACCGUAGCCAAAAAAGAGAGAGAGAGAGCAAAAGAAAGCACAGAGGAAGUGAAUCGAAGGCUUAAACUUAAGCUUAAAAGAUGCUGAGAUUUACUCUAUUAUGGCUUCUCGUUUUCUUCUUAUCUCUCGUUUCAUCUUCAGCUCGGCCCGCACCUUUUGCUAUGCGCAUAAGCUGCGGGGCUCGUCAAAAUGUCCGAACAGCACCAACAUAUGCACUUUGGUAUAAAGAUUUUGGGUAUACAGGUGGGAUUCCAGCUAAUGCAACAACUCCAAGUUUCAUUACUCCUCCUCUAAAAACACUCCGAUAUUUCCCUCUAUCUGAAGGUCCAGAAAAUUGCUACGGGAUUAAUAGAGUACCGAAGGGACACUAUACUCUGAGGAUCUUCUUUGGAUUAAUUAAACAGCCUGAUUUUGACGAUGAACCUCUAUUUGAGAUAUCUGUUGAAGGCACCUUGAUUCAUUCACUGAAGUCAGGCUGGACUAGCCAUGAUGACCAGGUGUUUGCUGAAGCCCUUGUGUUUCUUUUAGAUGGCACAGUAUCUAUUUGUUUCCAUAGCACUGGUCAUGGAGAUCCAGCAAUUAUUUCUAUUGAAAUUCUUCAAGUUGAUGAUAAAGCAUACUAUUCUGGUCCAGAGUGGGGCAAAGGUGUUAUCCUGAAAACAACUUCAAGACUGACUUGUGGCACAUCAAAGCCAAGAUUUGAUGAGGAUUAUAGUGGGGAUCAUUGGGGUGGAGAUAGAUAUUGGGAACCCAUCAGAACUUUUGGCCAAAAUGCUGACGAGCCGAGAUCUACUGAAAAUAGCAUUAAACAAGCUUCAGAUGCACCAAACUUCUAUCCAGAAGCCCUUUAUCAAAGUGCAGUUGUUAGUACUGAUAGCCAGCCAGAUCUAGCUUAUACAAUAGAUGUGGAUCCCAAUAAGAACUACUCCAUAUGGUUACACUUUGCAGAGAUUGAUGCUUUAGUCACAGAUGCUGGGCAAAGGGUGUUUGAUGUUCUGCUUAAUGGUGACACUAUAUUUAAAGAGAUAGAUAUUUUGAAGAUGAGUGGUGACCGGUAUACUGCACUAGUGCUUAAUACAACUGUUGCUGUUAGUGGUAGGACACUGACAAUAACCCUUCACCCUAAAGAAGGCCACCGUGCUAUCAUUAAUGCCAUUGAAAUCUUUCAAGUAAUAGCUGCUGAGUCCAAAACUUCAUCAGCAGAAGUUAGGGCCUUACAGGCAUUGAAGAGAUCACUGGGGCUUCCAAAUCGUUUUGCAUGGAAUGGAGACCCAUGUGUUCCAAAGGAGCAUCCAUGGAGUGGAGCUGAUUGUCAAUUUGAUAAAUCUGGCAGCAAGUGGUUCAUUGAUGGCCUUGAUCUUGCCAACCAAGGUCUUAAGGGGUUCUUGCCUGAUGACAUAUCCAAACUAAUUCAUCUACAGAGCUUAAACUUGAGUGGAAACACAAUUCACGGGGUCAUUCCAUCAUCACUUGGAACCAUAACCAGCUUAGAAUUGCUGGACCUCUCCUACAAUUUCCUCAAUGGAUCAAUUCCUGAAAGCCUAGGGAACUUGACCGCAUUGCGCAGAUUGAAUCUUAAUGGCAACUCUUUGUCUGGAAGAGUCCCAGGUGCACUUGGAGGAAGGCUUUUGAAUGGAGCUAGCUUCAAGUAUGUUCUCCCAGAAUUUCUUUUACUGACAAUGCUGGUCUCUGCGGCAUACCCGGAUUACCUACAUGUGGACCCCACCUCUCUGCCGGUGCAAAGGUUGGCAUUGCCUUCGGUGUAUCCCUAUCAUUUUUACUUCUUGUUAUCUGUUCAGUUUGUUAUUGGAAAAGACGGCAGAACAUUCUUCGAGCACAGCAGAUAGCAGCAAGAGGUGCUCCAUAUGCAAAAGCAAGAACGCAAUUCUCGCACGAUAUCCAAAUGUCAAGGCACCAUAAUCAUGGCCAUACUCGGACAGCUGCUGAGAAUGGACCAAGCUUGCUAUCGUAAUUAUAAUCAUAGUAAUAAUCCCAACUCUUCUUGUUUGGUUCUGCUAGCACCACAAUCAUUUCUUUAGCUCAUGAUGCUUCUGCCUAAAUCUUCUUUAUUUUGUAAAACUCUCUCCUUAAAAGGCCCCUAUAGAAUCACUUCGAAAAGGUCAGAUACCCCAACAGUCACAAAAAAAUGCAGCAAAACUGAAGUACAUUAUCUUCUGUGAUGUGUGAAUUUUGGAAGGAAAAUCAUUGUCUACUCGCUCGGGUUGUGGCAGAGUGGGAAAACAGCGAACACCUAAUUCUCAUGUUAGAGGUCUGACAUUGUGAUUUCCACGCAGCGAAUCCAUCUCCCUAAGUCCAAACAAAUAAGGCGCCGCUGAAUACCCGUACAGAGAAAAAAGAAUAGGGCAUACGUAAGCACCGGCGCUGAGUUCACUCAGUUGACAGACACACCUCCCCCCUCUGCUCCACACGUCUAAUCAGGCGGCGGCUCUCUCUUUUCUUUAUUUAAAUAUAUUCUUAUUUUAUAAUGGGUUAAUGUCUUGGUUAGUCCUUGAGCUUUCAUCUAAUGGGCAAUGUGGUAUUUAUAUAAAGAAAAGGUCUAAUUUGAUACAAAACUUUAAUUUAAUGAUUGGUGGUGGGAUUUGAUUAAAUUAUUAUUUCUUAUUUUAAGCAAUAAAUAAAAUUUUAAAAAUUAUAUUCAAGAUAUUAUAUCAAUCAUAUAAUGACAUUCAUUUAUUCGUCCUUGUGAAGUCAUCAUGAAAUUAGAUGAUAUUAAAGCUUUGGGGUAGGUUGGUACAUAAUAGAAUAGUAAGAUUUCUAAAAUCAGAUUGAUGAUCGAAUCAAUCAAAUCAUCGACUAAUUCAUAAGUCAACCAAUCUAAUUUUUUAAUCACACCGGUGCUCCAAACCAAUUUAAUCCAAUUCAAACAACAUUCCGGAAU